rnacentral:misc_RNA from 1 species
GAUGAAGAACGUAGCGAAAUGCGAUAAGUAAUGUGAAUUGCAGAAUUCAGUGAAUCAUCGAAUCUUUGAACGCACAUUGCGCCCGCCAGCAUUCUGGCGGGCAUGCCUGUUCGAGCGUCAUUUCAACCCUCGACUUCCCUUUGGGGAAAUCGGCGUUGGGGACCGGCUGUAUACCGCCGGCCCCGAAAUGAAGUGGCGGCCCGUCCGCGGCGACCUCUGCGUAGGAAUCCAACUCGCACCGGAACCCCGACGUGGCCACGCCGUAAAACCCCCGACUUCUGAACGUUGACCUCGGAUCAGGUAGGAAUACCCGCUGAACUUAAGCAUAUCAAUAAGCGGAGGA